CAGAUUCAAACGGGAAUUUUAACUGAAGAAUUACCUGCUUCUUGUGUCCCACUUUUCCCCAGAAUGAAGGCAAAAAUGUCACAUUUUUAUACAUAUUUUAUCCAUUGUCCAACGAACUAUAUUUCCAAAUUGCCCCUGCGGAUACACUGUCGUGAUCGUGUGCAGGAUUGGACAAAACAAGAUGGCAGACGGCAGUUCCAAACAAAGGUAUCAAGCCCAAGAACUUCAUUCCAUGAGAUGGGUACACUUCGAAUGUGCGAAAUUUGUGGUGAGGAAUUCAAGACCAAUUCUGAAUUGCGUAGGCAUGUAAAAAGGAAACAUCAAUCAGAGAAAUUGUCUUCGUUUGUGACGAGUGCAACACACGCUUUUGCACAUUAUAAAAGAAACAUGAAGUAAAAAAAAUUACAUUGUUUUCUGAAUACACGAAGUGCAUACAUAUACCAUGGCAGCCGUUUUAUAUAUCCGUUUAUGUACAUUAUGAAACGAUUAUUUUUACGGUAUUAUGCUUUGUUUUACAGAGAUACUACUAAUCUUUUACAUUGCAUUUUACACAUGUUGAUUUGUUAUUUCAUUGAACCAGAAGUGUUCUUAAUUUUUACGUGUUAUUAAAUAUAUUUCAAUGUUA